rnacentral:rRNA from 1 species
AUUGAACGCUGGCGGCGGCUUAACACAUGCAAGUCGAGCGGAGCGAGGGUGCUUGCACCUUAGCUUAGCGGCGGACGGGUGAGUAAUGCUUAGGAAUCUGCCUAUUAGUGGGGGACAACAUCCGAAAGGAAUGCUAAUACCGCAUACGCCCUACGGGGGAAAGCAGGGGAUCUUCGGACCUUGCGCUAAUAGAUGAGCCUAAGUCGGAUUAGCUAGUUGGUGGGGUAAAGGCCUACCAAGGCGACGAUCUGUAGCGGGUCUGAGAGGAUGAUCCGCCACACUGGGACUGAGACACGGCCCAGACUCCUACGGGAGGCAGCAGUGGGGAAUAUUGGACAAUGGGCGGAAGCCUGAUCCAGCCAUGCCGCGUGUGUGAAGAAGGCCUUUUGGUUGUAAAGCACUUUAAGCGAGGAGGAGGCUACUUAGAUUAAUACUCUGGGAUAGUGGACGUUACUCGCAGAAUAAGCGCCGGCUAACUCUGUGCCAGCAGCCGCCGUAAUAC